UACGAAGGGGGCUAGCGUUGUUCGGAUUUACUGGGCGUAAAGCGCACGUAGGCGGUUCGUUAAGUCGGAUGUGAAAGCCCUCGGCUCAACUGAGGAAGUGCACCCGAAACUGGCGAGCUUGAGUACGAAAGAGGAUCGCGGAAUUCCCGGUGUAGAGGUGAAAUUCGUAGAUAUCGGGAGGAACACCAGUGGCGAAGGCGGCGACCUGGACGGACACUGACGCUGAGACGCGAAAGCGUGGGGAGCAAACAGG
rnacentral:rRNA from 1 species